GACAGAGGGUGCAAACGUUGCUCGGAAUCACUGGGCGUAAAGCGCACGUAGGCGGAUUGUUAAGUCAGGGGUGAAAGCCUGGAGCUCAACUCCAGAACUGCCCUUGAUACUGGCAAUCUCGAGUCCGGAAGAGGUAAGUGGAACUCCGAGUGUAGAGGUGAAAUUCGUAGAUAUUCGGAAGAACACCAGUGGCGAAGGCGGCUUACUGGUCCGGUACUGACGCUGAGGUGCGAAAGCGUGGGGAGCAAACAGG
rnacentral:rRNA from 1 species